rnacentral:pre_miRNA from 13 species
AAGCCACUGCAGAGGUUUUUGAUGUCGCAGAUACUGCAUCAGGAACUGAUUGGAUAAUAAUCAGUCACCAUCAGUUCCUAAUGCAUUGCCUUCAGCAUCUAAACAA